CCUGAGGCGAGCCAUGAGUCAGCCAGAGGAGCACAGCAUUCCAAUAAAUGACAGAGGCAAGACUUGGAAGACAGCAAGAUGGAACAGUACAGACUGUUGGAUACCUGCCUGGGAAAGAAAAAGCAAUGAACACACAUUAUACUUGAGUCUAAAAACGACUUCCAGGAACUCAAAAAACCAUGCACCUUGCCAGAAGCAGUAACUGCUGUGCUUUUAAGAAUGAAGUGGAUAGGAUACCCUAUGGAGAAGAACGUUCACUACAUCUCAGCAGGGUGCUCCCAAGUACAAAAUAUUAUAGUUCAAAAUUCCACCAGGUGAAUCGGACAUUUCAAACCAAGCAAAAUAACCCAUGGAUGAAGAAAUACUCUUCCUUCUCUUUACAGUGCUCAAUGAAAAAUGGCUAAUUGAAUUGACUAACUUCUCUCAAAUUUUACCUUUUUUGUGAGAAAACAGAACAAGCUUCAGUCUAAAUACUGCAGAAAGACUAUCUAUGUAUGAGUAUUUAUGAAUGUAAGGGAAGAAAGGAGGAAAAUUAAUUAAAAUAAUUAACUAGAAAGAGGAGAAUAGCUUGUGGACAGUUACUUCAAUAGGCCUUUUUUAUAUAUAAAAUGUUAACAUCUGGUUAAGAAAAAGAAAACUCCCAUUUACUGCCCUUGAUAACUCAAAAAUAAACAGAACAGAAUUUAUGUUGUAAGGAAUUAGAAUUGAGUUGCAUAAGCAUAAAGGCACAAUUUUUAAAAUCUUCCACAGAUGUUCAUGAAAAAGCACUUACAUGCACUGUUGAAAAGUUCAGAGUAUACCCCUAAGCAUACAUUCUGUCAAAAUAAGCAUAAGAUGCAAACCUUGGAUGACUCUGCUCACAAAAAAUGUUGACAAAAACAGUUAACAGGGAAAGAAUGCUCUAUUCCAAAUCUGUUUGUCUGAAAGAUAUUAAUUUGUUUUUGCAAAACAAUGCUCUAGUAAAAAGUAUUCUUACCAGUGGGCAUUCCAAUAAUAAAGCAUCUUCUAUUUUUUCUGACUUAGAACACUUUGGCUUUUGAUAAAGUAUUCUUGGCUCUUGUGCAAUGCUGGAGGAAAAUGAUUGCUAAUCAUUAGUCUACUUUAUAAACUACUUUCUAUCACAAGUAAUUUCAUACACUUAUAUAAACCCUACUCUUUUGGUAAG